UGGAAAGUCUCUCAAGAGUAUCUGUAAGG
rnacentral:piRNA from 1 species